AUUGAACGCUAGCGGGAUGCCUUACACAUGCAAGUCGAACGGAGUGGCGAACGGGUGAGUAAUGUAUCGGAACGUUCCCAGUAGCGGGGGAUAACUACGCGAAAGCGUAGCUAAUACCGCAUACUAUUGGAGCGGCCGAUAUCGGAUUAGCUAGUUGGUGGGGUAACGGCUCACCAAGGCGACGAUCCGUAGCGGGUUUGAGAGGACGACCAGCCACACUGGGACUGAGAAACGGCCCAAAAUCCUACGGGAGGGAGCAGGGGGGAAGUUUGGAGAAUGGGGGAAAACCUGAUGCAGCCAUCCCGCGUGGGGGAGGAAGGACUUCGGGUUGUAAAGCACUUUUGGCAGGAAGGCGGUACCUUUAGAAUAAGCACCGGCUAACUACGUGCCAGCAGCCGCGGUAAUUC
rnacentral:rRNA from 1 species